GCACUCACUUCGGCAGCACGUAUACUAAAAUUGGAACAAUACAGAAAAUAUUAGCAUGACACCUGUUCAACGAUGACAUGCAAAUUCAUAAAGCAGUCCAUAUUUUU
ensembl:snRNA U6 U6 spliceosomal RNA